rnacentral:rRNA from 1 species
UACGUAGGGGGCAAGCGUUGUCCGGAAUCAUUGGGCGUAAAGAGCUCGUAGGCGGCCGUCCACGUCGGAUGUGAAAGCUCGGAGCUCAACUCUGAGAGGCCAUUCGAUACGGGACGGCUAGAGGUAGGUAGGGGAAAGUGGAAUUCCUGGUGUAGCGGUGAAAUGCGCAGAUAUCAGGAGGAACACCGGUGGCGAAGGCGGCUUUCUGGGCCUUACCUGACGCUGAGGAGCGAAAGCUGGGGGAGCAAACAGG